GCUGGGCAUGGUGGCGGGUGCCUGUAAUCCCAGCUACUUGGGAGGCUGAGGCAGGAGAAUCACUUGAACCCAGGAGGCAGAGGUUGCAGUGAUCAUGCCACUGCAUUCCAGCCCGGGUGACAGAGUGAGACUCUGUCUCAA
rnacentral:SRP_RNA from 1 species